GUUCCCUCUAAAUUGUUUAGGAAUUUGCUGAGUUCUAAGGCUUGUUUUGAACUUGUGAUUCUCCUACAUGAGCCUCCCAAGUCACUGGGAUUGGACCUGUGUGCUAACAUACCCAGCCUUAAUAUGCCAAUUUCUGAGAAUAUAUUUUAUUUUACUUUUUUCUCUCACACUUUAUAUUGUAUUUUUUCAUUUAAACAUCUAACCAGAUGUAGGAUUUUGUUUUUUUAAAACAUGUUUAAGCAUUUUCCACUAAUUUACUACACCAGUUGUCUUUUGAUGAGGCAAAACUGUGAGAAGCUUGUUACAGACUUUCAGAUCACACUAGGUCCUCUGUGAUGUGUAAAUGCAAUAAUUCACAGAUAAGUCCUUCCCUGUUCCCUCUGUAGUCAGUAAACAGAGCCCUACUCUGGGUGCUCAGGUUGCUGUAUUAUAUAUUAUUAUGUAUGUAUCAUGCAUAUAUGUUUUGUAUUGCGUAUUAUUUUUUCUAUUUUGGAGGGGUUCCAUUGUAAAUGAACUUUUCUCUUAAUUGCAUUUCAGUAUUUCCUUUCAUAUAUAUAGAAGUUGAUUUUUUUAUUGCUAAUUGAUUUUUAUUGAGUUUUGUGUCUUUUUCACUGCUGACCUUGGGCACACAUUUUCCUAUUGGGUACUUCCAGGUUUUGAACACCACUUGUCCUGCUGCUGUAAACUUUGAAGUUCAGGAUUUCAUGUGUACCUUCAUUGUGGACUCAUUUGGGUUUCAACUUUGGGAAAUGGCUUGGGGACCAGGAGCCACUGCUGUGACAUAUGAAGUGGAGAUGGUCACUUCAGCAUUUGAAAGUUGAGUGGUCAUGGCCCUGUGAGGAGGUUUCUGUGAGGCCUAUGUGUAUUUGUGUGUGUCUUAGAGCCUCACAACUUCUUAAGUAUUGAUUUCCCCCUAUGUAGCAGGCUUUUGGUAGGUGUUGCGGCGAAGAUGCCCCAUCAAAUGCCCCUGUCUGUUUGCAGUAGACUCUAGUGAGCAGGAAUCCAGAAAUACAAGUCAAAUUCUCACUGUCAAGUGGAUUCUGUUGAUGGGGAGAGAGGUGGUGACAGUUGCAGAGGCUGCACUGUCUUCUCCCAUCUUGUUGCCUGUGGUUGCUGCCUCUGCAGGUGAGUAAAUCUGAGUCUGUGUUGCCUGCAUCCACCUGUAUCUUUUUGGUAGAGUCCUUGAUUUUGC
rnacentral:lncRNA from 1 species